UUUGCGAAUCAUUAUGUGAAUGAUAGAUAAAAUGGUGUGAAGGAAGUAUAAUUUGUAUGUUAAUUGUGAUUAUUAUUAUUGUGUGUAUUUUAUAGUAUAAUGAGUUUCAAAUUGAAUUCAGUACGAGCCGGCUCUAUGAGUCCACCAAGAGUCGGCAGAAGCUCUGAUCUGGACAAUAAUAAUCGUAAAAUGACCACCAUGCAUGAUUUACAAAUUCUGAUUAAAGGAAAGGAUGAAAAAAUUAUGGAAUUACAAAAACAACUGUCCGAAAAGGACGAACACCUUCAAGAACUUCGCAGUCAGUUGGAUAAAUAUCAAAGUGUAUUUGGUCAAACUUUUAAGCAAGUAACAAAAGGACCAAGAAAGCAAAGGGCACAGGGAAUAUCAGCUGAACCUCAAAUGGUACAAAAUCUAGUCAACCAAGUUUUCAAGAAGCACUCAAAAUGUACAAGGUAGGUUACGAGACUUAAUAUUAAUAAGACACAGUUACGUCACCGCAAAUUGUGAUCCAUCUUCUUAGUAUUCAUUUAUUUAAAACAGAGAAUUGUCCCUUGUUCAUUGUUUAAAUUAUUAAAUUGUUUAUUAUUGUUUAAAUGAUUACUAAACAACGUAACUCGUAAUGAUUAACCAGUCACCCUCUUCAAAUUGUAUCGACAGGCUAUGUGUAAACAACGGAAAAUUACUCUUUUCUUUCCUACCACCUCUUAACGUAUAAACACAUAGUUUGUUAAUUCGUACAUAAAUGAAGUGUAUAGAAAAAACCACUUUCGUGUAUUUACACUUGUCAAGUAUAAGAUACAGAUUCAGCAGACACUUAAUUUAGCUAGUGGUUGUAAUGCCUUGAAUUAAGGUAAAGCAGGAUUCGUCUGAGAAAAGUGUAAACAUUAUAAAGGCAGAAUGAACUGGUAUGGAUACAAAACUUAGACGAUAUACAUGUUAAAUGUGUCAAAGCGAAGCCUGGNNNNNNNNNNNNNNNNNNNNNNNNNNNNNNNNNNNNNNNNNNNNNNNNNNNNNNNNNNNNNNNNNNNNNNNNNNNNNNNNNNNNNNNNNNNNNNNNNNNNNNNNNNNNNNNNNNNNNNNNNNNNNNNNNNNNNNNNNNNNNNNNNNNNNNNNNNNNNNNNNNNNNNNNNNNNNNNNNNNNNNNNNNNNNNNNNNNNNNNNNNNNNNNNNNNNNNNNNNNNNNNNNNNNNNNNNNNNNNNNNNNNNNNNNNNNNNNNNNNNNNNNNNNNNNNNNNNNNNNNNNNNNNNNNNNNNNNNNNNNNNNNNNNNNNNNNNNNNNNNNNNNNNNNNNNNNNNNNNNNNNNNNNNNNNNNNNNNNNNNNNNNNNNNNNNNNNNNNNNNNNNNNNNNNNNNNNNNNNNNNNNNNNNNNNNNNNNNNNNNNNNNNNNNNNNNNNNNNNNNNNNNNNNNNNNNNNNNNNNNNNNNNNNNNNNNNNNNNNNNNNNNNNNNNNNNNNNNNNNNNNNNNNNNNNNNNNNNNNNNNNNNNNNNNNNNNNNNNNNNNNNNNNNNNNNNNNNNNNNNNNNNNNNNNNNNNNNNNNNNNNNNNNNNNNNNNNNNNNNNNNNNNNNNNNNNNNNNNNNNNNNNNNNNNNNNNNNNNNNNNNNNNNNNNNNNNNNNNNNNNNNNNNNNNNNNNNNNNNNNNNNNNNNNNNNNNNNNNNNNNNNNNNNNNNNNNNNNNNNNNNNNNNNNNNNNNNNNNNNNNNNNNNNNNNNNNNNNNNNNNNNNNNNNNNNNNNNNNNNNNNNNNNNNNNNNNNNNNNNNNNNNNNNNNNNNNNNNNNNNNNNNNNNNNNNNNNNNNNNNNNNNNNNNNNNNNNNNNNNNNNNNNNNNNNNNNNNNNNNNNNNNNNNNNNNNNNNNNNNNNNNNNNNNNNNNNNNNNNNNNNNNNNNNNNNNNNNNNNNNNNNNNNNNNNNNNNNNNNNNNNNNNNNNNNNNNNNNNNNNNNNNNNNNNNNNNNNNNNNNAAGAUUAAUAUAACUAAGAAGCAUUUAAAGUUUUAAGCCAUAAUCAAGAAUCGUUUUUGAGAUACGGUGCGACAUGUGAAAAAAACACACCCCUGUUUUAGUUACAAAGUGCCAUAACUCAAAAAGUUGUAAUCUUAUUUUCACAAAAAAGUAUACAGAUCAUUUGACCAUCAUAAGAAACAACUAUGUUAAGUUUCAUGAAAUUUGGAUAAGUCGUUCUCAAGUUACGGUGCGACAUGUUUACACCGGACAGACGGACAGACGGACGGACGGACGGACGGACACUGGACAUUUGUAUACCAUAAUACGUCCCGUCAAAAUUGACGGACGUAUAAAAAUAUACACAAAGACAGGUUAGACAAAAGGUCUUUCUACUUCCAUUGGUAAUUAUAAAUUAAAAAAGGGGCCUUCCGAAGAUGAUAAGAAACAGUGAUCCCCAUUUCCAUUCUCAAUUUUAUAUUAGAAACAAGGUCUCAUAAAUAUUAAAACAUAUGUUUAAAAUAUAUCUUCAUAAAAAUAUGAGCACUAAACACUGGUUUACACUAUAAUAAAAAAAUGUUUGCAAAUUGUUAAAACAUUUUCGGAUUUAUCAAAGCACUAUAAAAAAUGGUAACUCCUUAAAAGUCAUAAAACCACAAUAAUAACUGCUGUUAAUCAAAGUAUUUAUAAAAACUAAAAGUCUGUUCUGUUACAAAACCUAUAGGCAAAGGUCUUACUAUAAUAUCAGCGGGAAAUUUCGGUUCUAGAGGUGCAUUCCGUAUUUAAUCUGUUUUUUUUUUUCUCCUAUCUCCUGACGACAGCUGGUGUGUCCGUAGAUAUUGUUUAAAUUUUCUAUAUUUUCACUUUUUAAUUAGUUUACCUGCACAAUGGCGCAGAAGCAAUAUUUAUUUUUUGGCGCAAAUGAAAAACUACAACUUUUAAGAAUUGGCGCAAAAGCAAUGCGUACUUAAAUAUCAAUCAAAUUUGACCGUGCCCACAAAACGAUUGUUCAAAUUACGAAUAGUUUCAGCUUAAAAUCCAUGGCACUCUAAAAUGUAGAUUUUUUUAAAUCACAUAAAUUCCAUAUCGAUAUACGUAUAUUUGGAUCUAUGCAAUAUGUUUAUCUGGACAUCAGCAUGCUAGCUUAGUUCCGUCAUUUCAAUAACAUGGAUGGCAAUAUGUUUGAUUGAUCUAACCAUACGUUAACCAGUGUCCUUUGAAUACAGUGAUCAUGCAUGAUGUGAACAUUUUUUUCUAUAGACAUAGGUAGAUUUGAUUAAUCCAAAUAAUAUAGGUAUAAAGCAUACCGGUGUCCAUGCAAUUCAUAAUGCAAAACAACAAUAUAUAGAAAUAAAUUAUGUUUUUUUUUUUAUGAAAUGUAUGUGCUUAUGCAACAUUAUCAAACUGCUGUAAUGCAUUAGUUAUAAACUUUGAAAGAACCGAUGACUUUUCAUUCGUUUUUAAACUCAAAUGUACUUAAAUAGCACAUUUUAAACCGUAAGAAAUUGGUUUAUCUCUCGAAAAAACCUGAACUGUUCUCGAAAAAACCCGAACUGCUCUCGAAAAAACUUGGACAGAUGGAAAUGAAUAUACCCUUAAAAUUGCCUUUUAAUUACAAUAACUAAAACUUUUGUUAUAGCAUAUGUAAAUGUAAGGAUAUAAAGACAUCAUGUGUGCAUGCUCUUUGAAAUUUGCAUUGGUAUGUGUGUAUAGAAAUUGCUUUUUUCUAUAUUUUGGCAUAAAAGCAUUAUUAGGCCAAAUCAAACUUUUUUAACUGCAAAGUAUGUAUGGUUGGCAACAUCCUUUCAUCACAAAUACUUACUUAACUUGUUUGAUCUUGUAAAUUUAGUUUAAGCAUUUAUUUUACGUGUUAACAGGAAAACAUGUCUGUUUGUUUACAUUUUUAGUCAUAAUCUCUCGAAAAAAACUGGACGCUCUCGAAAAAAACCCGAUCAAAUCACUCGAAAAAACACGAUCUCAACCGGACACUAUACCUACGGUGGUAAUACUGAUACGUAUUAUUACAUAUCAGUAAAAAAAAUCUACAAACAGUAUGUUAAUAAAGAGUUAUGAAGUAAAAUGUACAUGGGACAAAAUCACAAAAAAUACAUAGAAUAAUACAAAUUAUCAAUGAACAGGUGUUAUAUGUCAGUUUGGUAUGGUCAAGACGUUUGGUAAAGAUAACAUCCUUUUAAGAGAGUUAUCUCGCCUUAACCAGUUAUGGGGUUUUUCGUAUUGCGGAUUGCAUUCCGUAUUUGUAUGAUAUGUUAGUUGAUUUGUUCUCUUGAUUUAUUGUUACCAUUCCAUGUAGAUGUGUUUUUUGAAGAAUAGAAUUUAUUAACUUGAAUAUUCGUUUAUUAUCUAUGCCAGAAAGGAGCAUUAAACAGGGCUUUACUUGACAGUCGAUGUAGAGUCUGCAACAAAAAACGAAUCAUAGUAUAUUUUUAGCAUUCUUUUAAACACAUACAGUAGACGACUUUAGUUUUAAUACCGAUUUUGCCGCAAAUACUAAUAUUCUCUUAGAAAUCAAAGACGGUUACUUCGAAGUCGAUAAUAGGGCUAUCUUAACUAGUUAUCGUAAGUGUAUACUAAGAUAGCCGUUAAAUUGUUAAGAUAACCCACGAGGGGAUUGCAGAUACUCUCUUAUCACCAUCGUAAUCUUCUUGUAAAGCGUUUUCUCUUAAAUGAAACUUAAGAUAGGUUUUCAUGAUACAGGGGCCCGCGGUAACAAGAAACUUCUCUUAAAGUCUUCGUAAGUCAUAGUUUACGAUUACACAAAGAAUGCAUUAAGGGUCCUUUUAAGAGUGUAUCAAAAAGCAUUCUAUUUUCGUUCUUUUCUUUCCCAUAACUUCGUUUGAUAAAACCCUUAAAACAUUCUUAGUCUAAGCGCACUUAUUAAUUUUCGGACUUAUCCGACAACGUUUUCUUUGAAAUUCUUUGAUUUACAUGUUAGUUUGUCCCGAAAAAAUCUAGUGAAAUGUUUGUAUCGUAGGGCUAUCAUGACUAGCAGUGACACGGACAGUGAAUUAAAUGUAUGCAAUUACUUUUGCAAAUAAUCUUACAUGUUUUCAAUUUGUUUCUUAAUCCGUUAUAAAUCAAGAGGACUUGAGCGGCCAAGCAAUACACGUACAGUUUCAUUCCCUGACAUUCCUCAUGUGUAAAAUAAAGGUCAUUUUCAUUCUAAGAUAGGUUGAUGUGUGGGUAGAACCGCACUUACAUUAAAAUGUUUUUUCACAAGACGACGGGCGUAUCAUGCGCUCAUGGCGCAGCUGUUUAUUUAAAUAUUGAUCCAGUCGAAAUGCUAUCUAAAACACUUACCACUCAUUCAAAAAAGAAGGGUCUGACUUGUUUUUAUCAUACUGCUUUUAUUACAUUAUAGAUGUCUGUUUCCGUUGAUUCCGUUAAAUACCAAUUCCUCAGAGCAAUUGGUACUUUGCGGAACGGAACGGAACGGAAAAAUAAAUUAAAAAGUUUAAAUCAGAUUCAACUUGAUCACUGUCUCUAAUCAUCGUCGGAACGGGCUGUUGAAGGCCUCUUUUUUAAAAUAUAAUUACCGAUGGAAGGAGAAAGACUUUUUGUCUAAGCUGCCUUUGUUUUAAAUUCUUAAUUAUUUAUCAGGUCGGGAAUGCUAUCUAAAACACUUAUUUCUCGUGCAAAAAGGGGUGUCAGACACAUUUUUUUUUAUCAUACUGCUUUUAUUACAUUAUAGAUGUCUGUUUCUGUUCGAUUCCGUUAAAUACCAAUUCCUCACAGCAAUUGGUACUUUGCGGAACGGAACGGAACGGAAAAAUAAAUUAAAAAGUUUAAAUCAGAUUCAACUUGAUCACUGUCUCUAAUCAUCGUCGGAACGGGCUGUUGAAGGCCUCUUUUUUAAAAUAUAAUUACCGAUGGAAGGAGAAAGACUUUUUGUGUAACCUGCCUUUGUGUUAAAUUUUUUUAUUAUUGAUCAAGUCGAAAAUGCUAUCUAAAACACAUACCACUCAUGCAAAAAGAGGUGUCAGACAAUUUUUGUUAUCAUACUGCUUUAAUUACAUUAAAGAUGUCUGUUUCCGUUUUUUUCCGUUAAAUACCAAUUCCUCAGAGCAAUUGGUACUUUGCGAACGGAACGGAACGGAACGGAAAAAUAAAUUAAAAAGUUUAAAUCAGAUUCAACUUGAUCACUGUCUCUAAUCAUCGUCGGAACGGGCUGUUGAAGGCCUCUUUUUUUAAAAUAUAAUUACCGAUGGAAGGAGAAAGACUUUUUGUGUAACCUGCCUUUGUGUUAAAUUUUUUUAUUAUUGAUCAAGUCGAAAAUGCUAUCUAAAACACAUACCACUCAUGCAAAAAGAGGUGUCAGACAAUUUUUGUUAUCAUACUGCUUUAAUUACAUUAAAGAUGUCUGUUUCCGUUUUUUCCGUUAAAUACCAAUUCCUCAGAGCAAUUGGUAUUUUGCGGAACGGAACGGAACGGAAAAAUAAAUUAAAAAGUUUACAUCAGAUUCAACUGGAUCACUGUCUCUAAUCAUCGUCGGAACGGGCUGUUGAAGGCCUCCUUUUAAAAAUAUAAUUACCGAUGGAAGGAGAAAGACUUUUUGUGUAACCUGCCUUUGUGUUAAAUUUUUUAUUAUUGAUCAAGUCGAAAAUGCUAUCUAAAACACAUACCACUCAUGCAAAAAGAGGUGUCAGACAAUUUUUGUUAUCAUACUGCUUUUAAUUACAUUAAAGAUGUCUGUUUCCGUUUUUUCCGUUAAAUACCAAUUCCUCAGAGCAAUUGGUACUUUGCGGAACGGAACGGAACGGAAAAAUAAAUUAAAAAGUUUACAUCAGAUUCAACUGGAUCACUAUCUCUAAUCAUCGUCGGAACGGGCUGUUGAAGGCCCCUUUUUUAAAAUAUAAUUACCGAUGGAAGGAGAAAGACUUUUUGUGUAACCUGCCUUUGUGUUAAAUUUUUUAUUAUUGAUCAAGUCGAAAAUGCCAUCUAAAACACAUACCACUCGUGCAAAAAGAGGUGUCAGACAAUUUUUUUUUAUCAUACUGCUUUAAUUACAUUAAAGAUGUCUGUUUCCGCUUUUUCCGUUAAAUACCAAUUCCUCAGAGCAAUUGGUACUUUGCGGAACGGAACGGAACGGAAAAAUAAAUUAAAAAGUUUAAAUCAGAUUCAACUUGAUCACUGUCUCUAAUCAAGGACGACGUGAGGUCAGUCUAGAUAUCAUAAUGCAUGACUUGCAAAUGCGUUAAUUUCAUGAUAAUUUAUCAGGACAAUCCGACAUAUUCAUCUACAGAAUAUUUCCCGAUGUUAUACAUUAUUACACAUUUCACCUGUGAAGAUGAGAUUAAGUAUACAUUUGUGUUAUUUGUAUAUGGAAAACCGUAAAACACCAAAAUUUUAAAGUUUGUUUUGUUUUAAAGAUUUUUCGAAAUUUUGAUAAAUGCCCCCUUUGGAUACCUUAAAUGAAAUUCCGUUCCGUUCCGUUCCGUUCCGUAAAGUACCAAUAGCCGUGUAUACCAGCAUCUAGGGGUUUUAAAGAAUUGAUUUUAGAACAUGAGGGGUUUAGACUAUUAUAUAUAAAAAAAGAUGUGGUAUGACUGCAAAUGAGACAACUCACCAAAAGAAACCAAAUGAUACGGAAAGUAACAACUGUAGGUCACCGUAUGGUCUUCCACAAUGAAAAAAACCCAUACCUCAUAGUCAGCUAUAAAAGGCCCCGAAAUGACAAUGUAAAACAAUGAAAACGAGAAAACUAACGGCCUAAUUAUGUACAAAAAAAUGAACGAAAAACAAAUAUGUAAAAAGUAAACUUCACUAAAAUACUGAACUUAGAGGAAAAUCAAUUCGGAAAGUCCAUAAUCACAUGGCAAAAUCAAAUAAUAAAACACAUAAACAAACAACCACUGAAUCAUAGACUCCUGACUUGGGACAGGCCCAUACAUACAGAAUAUCAGUUUGCUGAAUUGGUUUCUUCUUUUAAAAAGUAAAAAAUCAUUUAAAAAGUGAAAUAACAAAAAUACCGACCUUCAAGGAAAGUUCAAAACGAAAAGGUUUUUUUUUUUAUUCAUAUGGCAAAAUCAAAAGCUCAAAUACAUCAAACACAUUAACCAAUGAAAUCCUAAUAAUGUUAAAGUUGAUGUCAUUCCUCUUUAAGUUUUAGAGUCGUCGCCGUGAUUUUCUUGACUUUGAUAAAUGAUCUACGUCAUAAAAUGAACAUGGAUAUAAUCGAAGCCAUAAUCCCGUCCUUUAUCAUAUUUUGACAUCACCUUUCACGUCAUUAAUUAAACAUAUAACCGAAUUCGUACUUACCAUAAGCAACACGACGCGUACUAGAUUUGUGGAGCAGGCCCCUUCUUACUUUGGUCCUUCCGGUGUUUUUUUGUGGGAAUUGUAUAUUAUAUUUAUAAUUAUAAUUUGAAACAGUCUAUUGUUAUAGUCUUUAUGCUUUUGACAAUGCAUUUAAUUUCAUGAUAUAUUCAUUGAACAAACAAUGCCCGCCUUCACCGUUUAUCUUUUAUGUGCAUACAAACAUUGAUUUUUUUUCUAUUUCAGGGUGACAGAAAAAGAAGAUGUUUUCUGAAUAAAACACUCACAAAAUAUAUGAAGUAUAUGACUUAUUCAUUUAAUCAUACAACUAAAAUAUGAUAUUUUAAGAAACAGCAAAAUAUAUACGUAUACUGUAUUUUACUAUUCUGAAAUGGUGCCUAUUUCCUUGAGACACUUGCCACUAUUGAAAACAUAUAUUAUAUUAAACUAUUGUCUCAUUUAAUUAGUGUAAGGUAAGAGAUAAAGUCCAAACAACAUGUUUGCAAAUACACAAUCUACUACUCAUGCAAAUGGAUUUUAAAAGUGUAACUUUUAACACGUAUUCAUCAUUUGAAACUUAAUAUAUACAUAUAGAAAGAUGUGGUAUGAUUUCCAAUGAGACAUAUCUAAGUUCAAAAGUAUCAAUUUAUAAAAGUAAACCAUUAUAGGUCAAGGUAGGGCUUUCAACAAAAUAGAUAAAAAGAAUCAUUUCGGGUUUGUGUAUAAAACAUUUUGCCAAACAUGUACUCUAAAUUGACAAUGAGGGUUGGUUGUAAGCAAACUUUUACGACAAAAGAGAUGAUUCCAGCUUCCCAAUUGUGAAGUCUCAAUUUCUAUGUAGAAAAAUUUCAGUAUAAAUCAUCCAGUUGAAACGAUAUUCCAGGGCCUGUAUUCCUAUAAUGAUUUCCUUGAUAGAGUGUUGGUGUUCACACGGAAGCUAUUAAAACAAGUAAAGACGUUGAUUCAUUUCUUCAUAAAUUUAACGGACGCCAUCACGAAUUGGUUCACCAUAAUGUUAUUAUUGGAUAUCCGUUUCACAGAUGAUAGCAGAUAUGUUCCAAAUGUCCAUUUCCCCCGAAUAUGACCUACCGAAUUAGACUUAUGACAGGGUGUGUACUAACAUGAACUACAUUUAGAGCGCCACAUAUAUUUCGAUUCUUAUACAUCCUUGGCUUUCAAAUAUUUGGCUUUGAGCGUUCCUGCUGUCAAAUGUAAAUCUAGAAAAACGCUUCAGACGUAUGCAAUUUAUAUAACGCGUUGUUUUCAUUUUUGAUAAGCACUUGGUCGAUAACACUGCUAGUGGAUUAUCUGUCCUUGAGGGUUUCGUCGGUUCAGUAGUCAUUACUUCGGUACUGACAUGAUUUUAAAAAAAAAUCCUUUUUAAAAUUGUCCGUUAAUAAAUUUUGAAAUUAUUCAGAAAUUAAGGUUUCAUCUCCAUCAGGCAAGGUUUCCCUCGCCUCGGUCACGGAUAGCUCGAACGGAUGCCUAACGGAUAACUUUUUUCAAUCCGUUCAUGUCCGUUAGACGUCCGUUCUUAUCCGUUAGAACUCCGUCCAUAUCCGUUGCAUGUCCGUUUAGUGUACGUUUUAUCCGUCGACGUCCGUUCUGUCCGGUGGAAAAUUUAGAGCAUGUUCAAAACUUUGAACGGACGUCCAACGGAUGAAAUGUCCGUUGAACGUCUGGUAAGCGUCCGUUUUAUACGGUACUCGUCAGUUUUGUUUUCCGUUUUGUAUCCGUUACGUGUCCAUUAUGCAUCUAUUGGAGGUCUGGAAGAUAAAUUCACCAACGGACUUCUACCGGACGUUUAACGGAUAAAACGGAUUUUGAACGAAUGAUAAACGGACUUCUACCGGACUUAUAACGGAUAAAACGGAUGAUGAACGGAUCUGAAAAGAUAAAUGCCAAUUGAAAAUUUCGCGUCAGAAAUGCAAAUCAUUGGCAUGUCAGAUUUCUUAAGGUUCAUGAAUUCUUAUUAUUCAUAAUCGAUCUUAGAGUAAGGGCACGUCUUCACAAUCAAGCAGCUCUUAUUCAGGCCAGACACUGCCCUUUGGAGGACAUUUUGAAGAACAAACCAAAACCAGUUACACAGAAACCUUUUGAAUAUUUUUGCGAUUUAAAUGUAUUAUUAUUGUCGUCUUUAAUUUUUCUGUAUAUCUUGUUCAUCCGUUUUAUCCGGCACACUUCCGUUAGAAGUCCGUUUUAUAGCGGUACCGGUACUCGUCCGUUGGAUGUACGUUCGACAUCCGUUCUGUCCGGUACGUUUAUGUUUCCCGUACGUUGCAUAUUCGGUGUGUGUCCGUUAUGCAUUCGUAACACGUCCGUUUUAUUCGGUCAGUACAUCAACGGACUUCCAACGGAUAACAAUUUUGUCAACGGACAACUUUUUUUUUUAUUCUUUAGGCGUCCGUUCGUGCAAUCCGGUAAGGUGUGACCGAGGCUUUAGAUUGAUUUGGUUAUUUUGUAAGUUCUUUUCCGUCAUAAAGCUCUCAUUUGUUUCGAUUCUUGUAAAUUUUCGGCUUUUUGUGUGUUUGAUGAAAAUCAAUAUAUAUUGACUUUUUACAAAGCUUUGAAUUUUGGAGUGCAUCGAUUUUUCUACCUCAGAAAUAGAUUACCUUAGUUGUAUUUUGCAAACCUUUUAGGAAUGUGUGGUACUCAGUGCUCUUCAAAUUUGCACUUUAUGAAAAAUUACGACUGCUGUGAUAAGCUGUGGAUUUUCAAAUAUAUUGGCCUCAAUCAUAAUGCAGAAAAUUUGGUACCGGUUAUGUUAAUAUGAUUUAGUUUCUUCUUGUAACUGAUUCCUCAUUUAUAAAUGUUUGCAAGUAACAACGCCAGCUUAAAUUGUAUGAUUGGCAGUAGAAAAAAGUCUUGUACAGUACACAUGGUACAUUUUAUGACGUCAAAAUUUCCAGCUUCUCAUAAAUGAUAACACUGGUUCGUGUGAAUUGAUUUCCACGCCAAAUUUAAACUUAAUGGUACAUGUAAUUGAUGCGAUGUUUCUUUUGAGUUGUUCCUCUUUCAACAUUUGAUUAUAGAUUGUUUCUUUAAAGUGCUUAACUAUUUUUAAAUAAAACAUCACUUUAUAGAUGUAACAAGAGCAUGUAAAUCGAAUGAUGUAGCAAUGAUUUUGAAAUGAUUUGCAUUCUUUAAACGGAGGAUUUCUUAUUCUUAUCACAAAUAUCUAUUUUCUCAAUUUCUGUUCUAUUUAUGUAUGUUCUUGAUACUUUACUGUUAGUGUAAGGUCGUCUUACAAAAACGCAAUCAAAGGUCAAUUGCAAAUCAAGAUAUCCAAAAUGAGCAUUAUGGUUUGUGACUUUUAAACACCGGUAUACUACUGUUGCCUUAAUUAUGUCCACAUAAAGUCGUUGAAUGAAUUUAGCCGCUUGGCUAAUUUGGAACCACAUUCAAAUUGCUGAUAAACUUGGAGCUCAAUCUGUAUUUUUGUCGUCAUAAAAGUAACAAUACGGAUACCUAUAGAUUCAAAAUAUUCAAUCAACAAUACUGAUUUAGAUACCCAACAACUACACGUUAUAUUCGAUAUUUUUUUGUUAUAUUUUGUAGAUGCCCAACAACUACACGUUAUAUUCGAUAAUGUUUUUUUUAUAUUUUGCACAAAGAGGUUAUCAUUCUCAUUAAAUCAAACAUUAAAAGUACCCGUUGCCUUUGUAGACCUAGAUAUAAUAAUGGUAUUGUUAAUUUUCUUUUCCUUGUUGGUUGUUUCCCAUUGGCAUCUACUGGUAUAUAGAGAAUGAAUUUUCAAAUUGUUCAAUAUGCACGUGUUUUAAUUUGCAGUGAGAUCAUAGAGUUCAACGAACGUAAUAUUUUGAGUACUAAUAUUAAAAAACUUUUGCAUCUGAAAUAAAUUUAUAUCAUAUAGAGUCAAAGAUGUUGCUGGAUUUUAUCAUAAAUAAAACUAUUUAUUAGUAAAAGUAUGAUUCAACCUGCAGGAAUUUUAUAAACGUUGGUAUUUUGCAUUUAGCUUUUAAUUGUGAAAUUAUUACUAAUAGCAAGUUUUGUUCUUCGAGACUGUUUGAAUAUCCUGACCUCUUAGUAGAUGUUAUGAUAAUUGUUCUGCAGUCCUAUGCGUGGUCGACAGAUCCUUCUGCCCGAUACGAUUGCCCUUUCAGAAUCAACUUCAUACCUUUAUUUACUGCAUAGUCAGUAUCUGCUGGAUAUCAAAAAUAAAAACAACACUUUAUAAAUUCACGCGUCCGACGUGAUCCGACGUGAUCUUCUGGAUUUACCUUUAAACGGAACGCUCAAAAAUGAAUAUUUGAAACACAAGGAUUCAUCAAAACCAAAAUAGUUGAAGAGCUAGCGCUAUUAGUUGGAAUAUAAGUUGCUAAUUAGAGCCUUUGAGUAACUCUUUUUGUUUUCGUAUGAUGGUAGAUUGAACCGAUGUUUAUGUUGCUAUCAUUCGCUGAUACAAUACGAACACCAUGUUGAAAGUCUGUAAUGGUGGCGAUUCACUAUAACUUUUGAUCCAUUUGUAUGUUAGAAUCCCACGUUGUAUAAACCAUUUCUUGAUACCGUCGUAGCCUUUCUUGACGCGAAGUCCUGUUUUCACGAAAGUUGUGCAGUCCGAAAACGUCUUGGUUGUGAAAAGUAGCUGCAUGUGUGAUCUUUUUUUGUAUUAACUUGACAUUUUAUCUUCAUGUCGUGGAUCUUCUAUUCAUCUGUUUUAAAAAGUGGAACUAUAUUGAUGAGGGAUACGGAGUACGACUGAUGCCAAAUAAGGGUAUGCCUGAUGCCGAAUAGAUGGUACAACGGAUGACGUUCGACUAAAACAAACUAAAUGGUUGAUGAAUAUGUUGUUGAUAAGAUGAUUUCCUUUAAGGAAUUGAUGGUGCUGACUGUACAGCCUACCUACCUUGUGUUUGGAGGAGGUGAUGUUUCAAGUCCAUGGAAUAACAGCGUUAUUCAUUGAGGAUGACCCGGAUGUUUCGCAAUCGACAGCAAUUGAUUUGUGAUUGUUAAAUAUUGUUUCUUGAAAAUCGAGUCACAAACAUUUCAUGUCCAGUUCGAAAAUAAAUUGACAAUGGAUAGAGAUUAUAGGUUUGUACCGACAUGAUUCCACAAGGACGAAGAAUGAUCAACCACUGGGAUUAAAAAUAUGUUGGAUAGAGACAUACAUUUUAAAUUGAACUGGUCACAUAAGGACCAUUUAGACAGUAUUUUUCAAAGGAUCUAUCUCAACAGGAUGUAUAGAAUUUAACGUUUCCAUUUCGAUCAUACAUAAAAACAACUUAUACUGGAACCGCUACACAAAAAUUCCAAUCUUUCUGUUGGUUAGAAAAAAACAUAAAUUCAGGAAGAAGGAUUUUGUCGAAAGGGGAUAUACACCUGGAUGGAAUAAAGAAGUGUUCAGUGUUCAGUGUCCCAAUAUUGAACAAUUAAACACAGAUUAGGUGACGACGGCCUGAUGUUCUUUUAGUUUUAUCGAUAUCAUAGUUAAUUUUGAUAAAAAUAAACUAGAGAUAAAAUAGUUGUUUUCUGUUCAAGUAAAUAGAGAAUAUCAAACCCGUAUCAACCUGAGACACCAUUAAUAUAGUCACAAGAGCUCUGCUCGAUAUCAUCGCGGAUGGCGGAUACAGCACGAUUGUCAGUGUUUGUAUGACACAUACAAUUUAUUGCUCUUCAACUUUGUACUUGUUUGGCUUUAUAAAUAUUUUGAUAUGAGCGUCACUGAUGAGUCUUAUGUAGACGAAACGCGCGUCUGGCGUACUAAAUUAUAAUCCUGGUACCUUUGAUAACUAUUAUUUACAUACUAAAAGUAUUCAUUAUAAUAUAUGAUAAUAAUCAUCCGAGUAUAAACAUAUAAGUUGACUAGUCUUCAAAAACGUAUUUCGACCAUUCAAAACAAAAUACUUCCUAAAAUUAACAGCUGUAGAUAAAUGAAUGAAAACCACCAUAGUUUCUUUCUGAACCAAUAUUAUUUGAUCUUUAUACAGAAAAGAUCAUAUAAAGAAAUCAUCAAUGAGACAACAAUUCAACAACAAAAUAAAAGCGAAAUAACGGUUAACAAAGUUUUUACUGUCUUUAGUGGAAUAAAAUUUUCUCGUUGCUUGUGCGUUGUCUCGUUGUGCGUUGCUCACUGUUUGUCGAUUAAAACUAGUACUAUUCUCUCUUUGAAAUAGUAGCUUUAUAUUUUCUUUAUGAUUUUGACAUAAUCCAGUGGAUAAUAAGUCGCACUAGUGCAGGAAAGUUAACUCAAAAUCGAGUUUAAAGCUGCCCUUAUCCAAAUUAUGAAUUUUAUUUCCUUUAUUGAAUGCAACAAUUGAAAGCAAAAGAGCAAUGCAUAACCUUUAUUGUUUAAUUUAUAAUACAUCAUAUUUUCUUAUUCUAUUCUCUAAGCAUUUAUUUGUAAGAAUCCGAUGCCCUUUUUAAAAACUAAACAUUUUGAAAGGAUUUUAAUAAUAAGCCAAAAAUGUCAAUGUAACUGAAAAAAGUAUAACAAAGGGAAUUUUUAAAAGGGAAAGUUCAUAAAAAAAACUGACAAAAUCUUAAUACUAUCAAUCAACGGAACAAGUGAAAUAUAUAUACUGCCAUAUUUCUGACUAUAUAUAAAUCUUUAUUCACACAAACCAAAUUACAAAAGUAUUAUACAUAUUUCAAAAAAAUUGCAUAAAUUGAGAUAGCCAUUUUUCGAAGAAAACGGUGGAUUAAACUUGAUUUUAUAUCUAGCUAAACCUCCCACUUUAAACCAUGAAUCGAUUCCUUAUAGGAGUUAUUGCCCUAUAACGUAAAUUUUAAACCUGAUACCUUUUGUUAGCUAUUAUUCGUUUGUUUCUCUGUCCUACAUUUUCUCCAAUUUAUUUGUAUUGUAACCCUUUCAUGUAAUGUUGUCAUGUUAAUGUUAACAUAUAUUUACAUUAAAGCGGGAGGUUUGGCAUGCCACAAAACCAGGCUCAACCCACCAUUUUUUCUUAAAAUGUCCUGUACCAAGUCAGGAACAUGGCUAUAACAAUGUAGUUCGUUUCUGUGUGUGUGUUACAUUUUAAUGUUGUGUUUCUGUUGUGUCGUAGUUCUCUUAUAUUUCAUGCGUUUCCCUCAGUUUUAGUUUGUGACACGAAUUUGUUUUUUUUCUCAAUCGAUUUAUUAAUUUCGAACAGCGGUAUACUACUGUUGCCUUUAUUUAACAAAUUGUACAUAUUAUUUUGAUAACUAUAAUCACUUUGUCACAAACAUGUUCAACUUGUUCAUAUGACAAUAAAGAUUGUUAUAAUAGAUAGACGGCAGUGGCGGAACACCUUUUUUUUUGGACAGAAAGAGCCAUAUCUCUUGAACGUAAAAGACGCCCUUGUAGAUUUCGAAAAAGAGCAGGCUAAUGCCUCUACAAGGCAGCACUCGCACCCGCAAAGUGGAAAGGGAUUAACAUAAGUUGCAAAACUUGUUUCCCAAUCCACUAUAAAUAAUAUAUGGUUGGAAUGCCCCAUUAUCCUGGAAUUGAACCCCCUCUAAAAAGGGCUGGAUCCAACACUGGACAGCAGUAAUUUAACAAGUCAGAAAAAAAAGACGAAAGUUUUAUUGUUCUUAAAUGAAGGGUAUUUACUAGUAAUAGUUUUUGCGAUUUUGCCUAAUGUCUUGAAAACUAUGAUAGAGGUCGAAAGCUGCAAUAGAAGAAAGCAUUAGAAGUACAAGAUUUACAAAAUAAUAUUUAUGAUCUUUUAAACAACGCAAUAAUUGUAGUUUAAUAUCUCAGAAACUGUUACAGUUGUAAAUCUUAUUCUGAAAAAUCCGAAAAAUGCACGGAGAGCCAACGAUUCUUUAUAUGAGUUAUUGCCUUUUGAUGGUGAUUUUGAUGACCUUGUAGUGCUUAUUGAAAACAGGACGGAUAAACAAGCAAAUAAAGAACAACAAAUCAUAUUGUAUUUGUAAUUAUUAGUAUUCAAAUGACUGUUUAGAGGAGAUAUAUUUGCUUUGAAUAUUUUGUGAAUAUAUGUUUACGAUAAUACAAAAUAGUCAAUAUACACGGAUGUGCGAUUUAAAACUUGACAUGUUUUGUUAAAAAAUAGGAGAAAGAUACCAAAGGGACAUUCAAACUCACAAGUCGAAAAUAAACUAACAACGUCAUGGCUAAUAAAGGGCUGCGCUUUAGCGCAUAUACGCCCGUUGCUCUUUUAACUUGUCUUUUAUGCUUUAAAUGAAUUUAUAUGAUCAACUAGAAAUAUAUAUACAAAUCAAAAGGGAUGUUACAUUAAUAUAUUCACCAAAGUUUCAUAAAAUCCCCCUUUUUUAAGUAUAAAAAUUCAUUACUUAAGAAAACGUAAAAUCUAAAAUUUAUAAAAAUGGAAAGGGAGCUUAUGUCAAUAGAUAUAAACAAUUUAUCAAAGUUGCAUAAAAUUUUGUGAAAGUGUUAGUUAUUGUCCCAAAAUUGGAAAAUCCCCCUUUUUUAAGCAUAAAAAUUCAUAACACGGAAAUGUAAAAUCUGAAAUUUAUAAAAAUUGAAAGGGAGCUUACAUCAAUAGAUAUAAACAAUUCACCAAAGUUUCAUGGACAUUGGUGAAAGCCUUUUUGAGUUAUUGUCCGAAGUGUUGAAAAUCCCCCUUUUUUUAUGAAUAAAGCCCCAUAAAUCCAAAACUUAAAAUCUGAAAUUUAUAAAAAUUGAAAGGGAGCUUACAUCAAUAGAUAUAAACAAUUCACCAAAGUUUCAUGGACAUUGGUGAAAGCCUUUUUGAGUUAUUGUCCGAAGUGUUGAAAAUCCCCCUUUUUUUAUGAAUAAAGCCCCAUAAAUCCAAAACUUAAAAUCUGAAAUUUAUAAAAAUUGAAAGGGAGCUUACAUCAAUAGAUAUAAACAAUUCACCAAAGUUUCAUGGACAUUGGUGAAAGCCUUUUGAGUUAUUGUCCGAAGUGUUGAAAAUCCCCCUUUUUUUAUGAAUAAAGCCCCAUAAAUCCAAAACUUAAAAUCUGAAAUUUAUAAAAAUUGAAAGGGAGCUUACAUCAAUAGAUAUAAACAAUUCACCAAAGUUUCAUGGACAUUGGUGAAAGCCUUUUUGAGUUAUUGUCCGAAGUGUUGAAAAUCCCCCUUUUUUUAUGAAUAAAGCCCCAUAAAUCCAAAACUUAAAAUCUGAAAUUUAUAAAAAUUGAAAGGGAGCUUACAUCAAUAGAUAUAAACAAUUCACCAAAGUUUCAUGGACAUUGGUGAAAGCCUUUUUGAGUUAUUGUCCGAAGUGUUGAAAAUCCCCCUUUUUUUAUGAAUAAAGCCCCAUAAAUCCAAAACUUAAAAUCUGAAAUUAAAAAAAAACGAAAGGGAGCUUACGUCAAUAGAUAUAAACAAUUCACCAAAGUUUCAUGGAAAUUGGUGAAAGUGUUUUUGAGUUAUUGUCCGAAGUGUGGACGACGGACGGACGGACGGACGGACAACGGUAUACCAUAAUAAAAAGACGACGGGCGUAUAAAAAGGACAUCAACAGACAAAAAAUAGUACACAAACACAACAUAGCAAACUAAAUACUGAACAACUUCUUGAACCCCACUAAAAACUGGGGGUGAUCUCAGGUGCUCCGGAAGGGUAAGCAGGUCCUGUUCCACAUGUGGCAUCCUUCGUGUUGCUUAUAUUAGUACAAACUCGACAAGAAAUCUAAUUCGGUAGGUCAUUUUCAGCAAAUUAAAUGGGCACGUGAUUUGUGACAUCAGGAACAUAUCCGGGAUACAAUCCCGACUAUGUAUUGUCUGCACUUCUGUGAUGGAUGGCAUUGUAUGUCACCCACACCAAUGAAUUCCGAAUUUCUUUGAAGUGUAAAUACUUCUGUUAAUUUAGAAAUAAGAAGAUGUAGUAUGAUUGACAAUGAGACAACUCUCCAACAGAGACCGUGAAUAACAUAGGUCUUCUAUUAACUACCAUAAAUGGUAUCGUACCUGAAUGUCUUUAGUUCUAAAACCUUUUUCAUUAAUCUUUGAAAUUCAUUAAAUUAACAAUAUCCCCAUUUUGAAAUAAGUGUUAUUUUCAUAUUGUUGUUUAUGAUCGUAUAAUUACUAUUUCGACGUACACGAAAUGUUGUUCUAAAGAAACCUUCGUCAGAUUGGCUUGAGACAAAAUGUUUGGAUACAAAACACAUAAAAUGUGUAUAAGUAACCACAAAAAGCAAAAGGGUAACAGAAGUAAACAGAACAGUAAAGCAAAAAUUAUGAUUGCAUACUAGAAUCAUAAAAAAAAGUAUUAGCAAAUCACCCCCUUUCAAUUGUGAGAUAUGGGACAUUCGCGCUAAACAGAUUUAUAUUCUUAAAUUUAUAAUUAGCUCAAUCUUCUUAAUUCUAUAAUUUAAAAUUGUAUAUUUUGGCAGCUUCACUCUUAGUUAUGAGGCAAUUAGAACUGUUCAGAUGUUCUGUGUUUAGUACCGUUUUCAGCUGGUUGCCUGUCUCAAGAUUGAAUUAGUUUGCCUGUGGUAGUCUGUGUUUCCAGGCAAUCUUGACUGAGUACCGUCUUGGAAGAACAUUCUUAUUGGUUUCCUGGUUAAAUUUUUUACGAAACAUGAACUAUUUGUAAUUGCACGUUUAGUGGGUAAUUAGAAAUAUGUGUAUAGAAUGCAUGCUGUUAAUAUAUUACUAUUGUUAUAUAGCGGAGAAUGGUAAUGCCAAGUGUUCUUCUUGUUUCCAAACUUCAUCGUUUAUAAGGCUGAACUUUCUGCUCGUAUAAUGUAUAUUUCAAAACCCAGCCUCCCCCUUUGCAUGUUUUCACAUAAUACUACUACUUCGUGCAUAACUAUUCUUAUAUGAAAAGUUUAAACAGAUCCAUCCGUGUACGUCUUAUAAACCUGCACGUCCUGUAUACUAAUUAUUAUAUUUUUUAAAGAAAAAAUAUCAAAUCAAACUUCACUUUGGCUAAGUAUUAAAGCAUUCUAUCAUUUUGGUUUGUACUUUACCAACUUCAAAGACUAUCCUCAACGUUCAUUUCCGUUGAUAAAGAUACAAACAAUUAAAAGUGAAUUAAAUUGAAAACGAUUAAUUCCCUGAUCAUUGUAACUAUUCUUUGAAAUAAACAAUGUUAGGGGAACGUUUUGAUAAGAGGGAAAUGCGCGCUGAAAAUGAAUUAAUAAUAUUUUCGUUGUUGCAGAGAAAUAGGGUAACUUGGAGAAUAUUUAUCAAACCCUGCUCUCAGUAAAUGAUCAAGUUGAUCACUAUGAUUAAAUUUCGAUUUGGCAGCAGUCAAAACUAAUUUCUUUUCCUUAACCUUAAGUGAUGUUGGAUUUAAGAAGAUUUAAAAGUUUUCGUGUAAUUAAAUGGUUAUUUAUGUACAAUACGCCACAGGUAAAUUAAAUUUGUCCAAAAGAAUGAAAGACAAGCCAAAUUCGAUUUACACUACCUGCCCUUGGUUGUAAUCUUCAGGUCAUGUGACAUAUGGUCGUACAAAAAAAAUAUCGGUGUAUAUUUCAAUGUUGUAAUCAGCUGUGCGUUCUCUGUACUCUGGGAAACUAUUAUCGUAGUCUGUUUCAACUUCAACUCGUAUAUUUUUGUUUGUGUAUCAUUAUGUGAAUGAUAGAUAAAAUGGUGUGAAGGAAGUAUAAUUUGAAUGUUAAUUGUGAUUAUUAUUAGUGUGUGUAAUUUAUAGUAUAAUGAGUUUCAAAUUGAAUUCAGUACGAGCCGGCUCUAUGAGUCCGCCAAGAGUCGGCAGAAGCUCUGAUCUGGAUAAUAAUAAUCGUAAAAUGACCACCAUGCAUGAUUUACAACUUCUGAUUAAAGGAAAGGAUGAAAAAAUUAUGGAAUUACAAAAACAACUGUCCGAAAAGGACGAACACCUUCAAGAACUUCGCAGUCAGUUGGAUAAAUAUCAAAGUGUUUUUGGUCAAACUUUUAAGCAAGUAACAAAAGGACCAAGAAAGCAAAGGGCACAGGGAAUAUCAGCUGAACCUCAAAUGGUACAAAAUCUAGUCAACCAAGUUUUCAAGAAGCACUCAAAAUGUACAAGGUAGGUUACGAGACUUAAUAUUAAUAAGACACAGAUACGUCACCGCAAAUUGUGAUCCAUCUUCUUAGUAUUCAUUUAUUUAAAACAGAGAAUUGUCCCUUGUUCAUUGUUUAAAUUAUUAAAUUGUUUAUUAUUGUUUAAAUGAUUACUAACAACGUAACUCGUGCUGAUUAUCCAGUCACCCUCUUCAAAUUGUAUCGACAGGCUAUGUGUAAACAACGGAAAAUUACUCUUUCCUACCACCUCUUAACGUAUAAACACAUAGUUUGUUAAUUCGUACAUAAAUGAAGUGUAUAGAAAAAAAACUUUCGUGUAUUUACUCCUGUCAAGUAUAAGAUACAGAUUUAGCAGACACUUAAUUUGGCUAGUGGUUGUAAUGCCUUGAAUUAAGGUAAAGCAGGAUUCGUCUGAGAAAAGUGUAAACAUUAUAAAGGCAGAAUGAACUGGUAUGGAUACAAAACUUAGACGAUAUACAUGUUAAAUGUGUCAAAGCGAAGCCUGGGGGUAUACCAUUAAAACAUUACAAUGACGGUUUUGUUUUGGCAAUGUGUGUAUAAAAUACAACUUUCUGAUGUAAUUAAAAAGGACGACUUGUUGUUUUUUUUUUUACAUAAAUGUACUUUUAUUAUUUUUUUGCCAACAAUGGUUUCUUUUUAAACAAUCAGAAUGACAUUAUGACUGGCCUGUACCUUAUCAACCUUGUUAGUGUAGUAAAGAUAUAGUGUAUGACAGAAGUGUAUUUGUUGUCUUAAUCUUCCUAAUAAGACAACACAUACAUUUUAUCUGUCAAAAUUUAUUAAGAAAAUGGGAAAAUUAUUUGAUCAAUUUCAAACAUUACAGUUUUGUUUGACACUGUCAGCUGGUUUCAGUGGUCGAUUAAAUUGUAAUUUAUUUACAACAAAAUUGAUUUGAACACGAAUAUUAUGAAAUGAACAAAACCAAACCAGGAAUACAGUAUGUGUAUCAGUUCACAUUCAUCAAUCAUUCUUUUGUGAAUGAAUUAAAUAUUUUAUAAACAGCUUUGAAGAAUUUUGAAAUUUAUGAUGUGUUUUACGUCGUUUUUUUUUCGGUUGUAGAAUUUAAGAUUAAUUACAUGAUAUUACAAUAUAUGUUAUAUUUACAUUAUUUAUAAACGCAUUUCACGUAUUCAAAAUUAAUCAAUAUCGAUACAAAUUUACACAGUUGUAAAAUGUAUUGAAACAGAAAUAUAUGUAAAAAAUAACUACAACAAUCGUUUGGCUUGUUAGUUCGCUUUUAAAGAGUUUUAAAACUGCAGCAGUUUGUGGAUACACAAAAUUUGUAAUUAAGGAAUUUGCUCGACUCCGCAAAGAAUAUACCCUAAAACAAUCAUAUGCAGACUGCUGUUCCUUUGAUUGACAGGUAAUGGUCAGUUAUACGACGAAUGUAACAGGUAACAAGUCACCAGAUGUCCAAAAAAUACAUGCAUCAUGCAGUUAUUUAUUGGCUAGGUCGGCGUUUUUUUUUUUAUAUUUUAUUUUUUGCGCUAAUAUUAUAGUUCUAACGAGUGCCGACCCUAGACCCAAUCCCCAAAGGCUACAUUGGUUUAGGAUUCUUCCAACUGAAAGAAAACGAUACUUUAUCAUCAUUCAGGCUUGGAUCUGAAAUAUUGGUCAAUUAUAAUUUAUUGUUUUUAUGGGAGAAAGUAGAAAGGAUUUUAUAAAUACAUGAAUAAUAUGUCAUAUAGUGAAAAGAUCUGGUCCAGUUUUAGUACAUAUAUGCAUCAUACACUUAUGUUAAAGUUUUAAGAUACUGCGAUAAGUAUUAGUUAAUAACGUUCCAACUUAGCCUUUUCAGUGUCGAAAAGGGAUACAAGAAUAACAAAAAGUAGUUUUUGCUUAUGUGUAUAACUAGAUAACGACGACACCAAAUGCCCUUUCUUCAAAUUACUUUGCUUUUUCGUCUUACAAGACGUCCACUACUGUUUCAAAAUGACUUUAUUAAUAAGCUUUUAUGAUCUUUUAAAUCCAUUUGAGGCAUUUAACUUGUGUUUAUUUUCCUUUAGUACCUUUUAUCCUCAAUUUUUCUUCUGACAUAACAUAAUUGUAACACUAGGUGAUUUAAGGUCAAAAGAUAAAAUACUCAUCAAGGAUGUAAUACUAUGUUAAUUUCUGUUUGACAAGAUUUAUAUCAGUCGCCCCCUGGUCACAUUUUUAUUAUCACGUGACCUUUGUAAUUUCUUCCAAAAAGUUCCAGAAAGUGACAUUCGGAUACAUUGUUCAUUGGCAAGUGGUUAAGCAUCUACUUAAAGAUCGCGUUAAUUUUCCUGAAGUCUCUACUUAAGAGAAAGUGUAGCUUUUCGAGAAAGCAUGUAUACCGUGGGAACCUCAGUUGAAUUCAGGUCGAGCCGUUUCCGUCCUUAUCCGAAUAAGGUCAAGGUAUGCUUAAAUUUGUAUACAUAUACUAGGUCGCAAACUUGACCACAAGUCAUAAAUACGAGAUAUUCUAGCAACUGUGCCAUGACGAGAGUAUUAAAGACACCAUUAAUGUACUGAGACAAUUUCUUUUACAGUUGGUCACAGUUUGCCUUUGUUCCCACAGGAGAGAGGGAGAGAUUUAUAAGCUAG
rnacentral:lncRNA from 1 species